AUGAAAAUCUUAAAUGGCCGCAGUACCCUGACUGUGCUAAGGUAGCGUAAUCAGUUGGCUUUUAAAUGGAGUCGAGAAUGAAUGGGUUUUCGGGGGUUGACUGUCUCUUUUAGAUUUAGUUGAAAUUUCUAAAAAGGUGCAAAAUCCUUUAAUUCGAAAAAAGACGAGAAGACCCUUAGAGUUUUUACUAUAAAAAGAUUAAUUCUUUAUGGGUUUUUGCUGGGGCGGCAAAGAGACAAUAAACUCUCUUUUUACAGCUUUUAGAAGACGUCAAUCUAAAGAGACAAUAAACUACCUUAGGGAUAACAGCAUAAUUAAAUUUUAGUUUGUGACCUCGAUGUUGGACUAGGAAAAAUUUUUGGUUAGCCGCCAAAAGCUAAGUUCUGUUCGAACUAA
rnacentral:rRNA from 1 species